UACGAAGGGGGCUAGCGUUGCUCGGAAUUACUGGGCGUAAAGCGCACGUAGGCGGUCUUUUAAGUCGGGGGUGAAAUCCUGGAGCUCAACUCCAGAACUGCCUUCGAUACUGGAAGACUUGAGUCCGGGAGAGGUGAGUGGAACUGCGAGUGUAGAGGUGAAAUUCGUAGAUAUCGGGUAGAACACCAGUGGCGAAGGCGGCUAUCUGGACGGACACUGACGCUGAGACGCGAAAGCCAGGGGAGCGAACGGG
rnacentral:rRNA from 1 species